AGUGCCCCCGCCCUGCCCUAGCCUCCACAGCCUUCGGGAGCUCCCAGACCCAGUGCUGAGUGAGGAAGUGGUGGAGGGCAUUGCUGCUGGCAUUGAGGCAGCCCUCUGGGACCUGACGCAAGGCACCAAUGGCCGGUACAAGACCAAGUAUCGCAGCCUGCUGUUCAACCUGCGGGACCCCAGGAACCUGGACUUGUUUCUCAAAGUGGUUCAUGGAGAUGUCACCCCCUACGACCUGGUGCGGAUGAGCUCGAUGCAGCUGGCCCCCCAGGAGCUGGCCCGCUGGCGGGACCAGGAGGAGAAAAGGGGACCGCAGAUGUUCAUGGACUGCAGCCCACAGGCCCUGCCCAUCGCAUCAGAGGACACCACGGGGCAGCAUGACCACCACUUCUUAGACCCCAACUGCCACAUCUGCAUGGGUGGGAGGGGACACGGGAGGGGUGCAGGGGUGGCGGCCAGGCUGGGGCUGAGCAUGCAGUUCAGCAGCAACAGGGAUUUGUGGCCUGGGGAGAGGGUGGCAGAGCA
rnacentral:sRNA from 1 species